UUGCAAUGAUGACUAUCUUAGGACACCUUUGGAAUAACCAUGAAAACAACCAUUUUGUUCUGAGCAAC